CUUCCAGUAGCACCUUAGAGACCAACUAAGUUUGUUAUUGGUAUGAGCUUUUGUGUGCAUCUGAUGAAGUGUGCAUGCACAUGAAAGCUCAUACUAAUAACAAACUUAGUUGGUCUCUAAGGUGCUACUGGAAG